rnacentral:lncRNA from 1 species
CUUCCACAACACUUCGACGUCUCUUCACAUCAUAAAAAAUAUUUUUCAUGUGAUCUCCUUAGCAUGUUAAAUGACACACAACACUUCAAUGUACUUAAAAGUCGUUUUAGAAAGUAUGCUAAACAUUAUUUAAUCUAUGUAAAGAAAACAUCAACUUUAUAUAUUAUAAAGCGUUCGAAUCCUUUUCUGUUUAUAAUAAUAUCAUAAUUAUGAAGUUAUUUUAUGUUUUGAUCUACUUUAUUUCUCUAUUUCUUGUUAUAAAUGUUCAAGCAUUUUUCGAUUGUGAGAAUCAUGAUGACUGUAAAAACAAAAUUAAGUAUGUGCUUCCUCGGAUUGCGGAAUGUCGCGAUUACAAAUGUAAUUGUUUUCCUUUAAAUCUUUCAAAAACUCUUUGGAGUGCAAGUACAAAGAGAGUGCACAAAAGUCUUGCUCAAACGAAUGAUUUCUUGCACUAGAAAAAGAUCAAUUAAAAAUUGUUUAUGAUAAAAUUAUCAUGGUAUGUGAUUUAAUAAGUUUGUUGACACCUAAUAAUUAGUUAUUUUUCCUUUCCUAUUUUUAAAGAUCAUGGAGUUAUGGAUUUGUAUUCUUAUAUGAUUUUAAUGAAAAUAUAUAUAGUAUUAAAUAUUAUUAUUUAGAUUGUCUUCAUUCCUCUAAUCUCACUUAACACCCUAAAUCUUAUCUAGGUUUUACUAAUUAUAACUCAAAAAUAGACUCUUGCAUUUACUUAAGAUGAUUGUAGGAUACAAUGAAUUCUUAAGAAGUUUUAGUUGUUCUUUUGGUCCUCGUAUUUUUCAAACUAAAAAAUAGUCCCAUCUUUUUAAAAUGAACCUUUUGGUUUCUAAAUUAUAUAAUUUUUAAAAUUUUUUGUGCCAACCUUGAUUUGAACAAUAGUUUUUUUCUCUCUAGAAAAGGUGAUUAUUGCCUCCAUAAGUGGUACUUCUGUUAAGGGUCAAGAUUACGGUUAAAAUCAAUACAUUAGGGCCCAAAAAUCACUGGCACGAAAAAUAACAAAAAUUAUAAUAAACGAGGGGGAAAAGUUCAAUUUUAAAUAUGGGGGACUAUUUCUUUGAAUGUCAUUGAAUAGGAGGAGAAAAAUUCAAUUAAUUUAAUAUUUCCCCCCGGUCCUUUUAAUAUAAGAAGAAAAAACAAAAAAAACACAAAAACCAAUACAAUUAUUAAUUGUUACAACUUUUUAAAUAAUUUUACAAAUAUAUCCCUAUAGAAAGUUGUGAACCAUUAAAUACAUUCACUAAUAUUGAAAAGACAAAUAUUAAAUGAAGGAUAUAAAAGUCUUUUAUGCAAUAACUACACCUUAAAACUUGUGACAAUUACUUAUAAAUAGGACCAAAUUUUUUUUUGAAAAUUUUCUUAUAAUAAGGAUCGGAGGGAGUAUUCUUAAAAGUUUUUUUUUUUUUUUGGUACAUAGUAUUCUUAAAAGUUAUUUAAUACAAUUAAUAAUCUAAAACAGAUAACUCCUUAAACUACAUUAUUUUAACGGGCGACGGAAGUUGUGAAAGUAUGAAACAAUUAGUUGCAAGUAGGAGGGCAUAUGUGUCUUUACCACUUCCUAGUAUAUAAUGCUAUACUCCCUUAUUAUUUUUUCAUUCUUCUGUUUCCUACACUUAACAAAAGCAAUCAGAAAACAACAUAUCCAUUUGCUGAACUUCAUAUCCUUCCCCACCUCACUUCAUCCAAACUCUCUUUUCCCAAAGUCAACAUGCAAUCAUACAUAAUUCAUCCCUAUAACAAGUGAAUACAUCAAUUAAGUCUUGAACUCCUUUUUCUAUCUCUUUGGCCGAAAAUGUAACAAUUCAUUUUUUCUAGAAUUAUUUUAAUUAUUUAUUAUGUGUGUUAUAUGCGUUUGUGUGUGAUUAAUUGUCUCUGUGUGUAUUUUAUUUGGGAUUUGUGGAUUUUUGGCCUAUAAGGGUAUUUUAGUCAUUUUUAUACUCAAUGGUAUGUUGGUCAUUUAAUUUUGUGAGCAAGGGUAAAUUAUUCAUUUUAUUAGAAGGUUAUUUUUGGUGUUUUCAGUGAGAAUAGUUAUUUUUACUGAGUUACAAGUGAGUUGAAAUAAUUAUUUAGAGACGGUAAUUAUUCAUUAUUUU